rnacentral:rRNA from 1 species
UGGUGGAGCGAUUUGUCUGGUUUAUUCCGUUAACGAACGAGACCACGACCUACUAAAUAGUUCAAGCUAGGGUUCGCUCUAGCUGUUGUGACUUCUUAGAGGGACUAUCGGUGUGUAGCCGAUGGAAGUUCGUGGCAAUAACA